rnacentral:rRNA from 1 species
UACGAAGGGGGGCUAGCGUUGCUCGGAAUCACUGGGCGUAAAGGGUGCGUAGGCGGGUCUUUAAGUCAGGGGUGAAAUCCUGGAGCUCAACUCCAGAACUGCCUUUGAUACUGAGGAUCUUGAGUUCGGGAGAGGUGAGUGGAACUGCGAGUGUAGAGGUGAAAUUCGUAGAUAUUCGGAGGAACACCAGUGGCGAAGGCGGCUCACUGGUCCGGUACUGACGCUGAGGUGCGAAAGCGUGGGGAGCAAACAGG